rnacentral:rRNA from 1 species
GAUGAACGCUGGCGGCGUGCCUAAUACAUGCAAGUCGAGCGAACGGACGAGAAGCUUGCUUCUCUGAUGUUAGCGGCGGACGGGUGAGUAACACGUGGAUAACCUACCUAUAAGACUGGGAUAACUUCGGGAAACCGGAGCUAAUACCGGAUAAUAUUUUGAACCGCAUGGUUCAAAAGUGAAAGACGGUCUUGCUGUCACUUAUAGAUGGAUCCGCGCUGCAUUAGCUAGUUGGUAAGGUAACGGCUUACCAAGGCAACGAUGCAUAGCCGACCUGAGAGGGUGAUCGGCCACACUGGAACUGAGACACGGUCCAGACUCCUACGGGAGGCAGCAGUAGGGAAUCUUCCGCAAUGGGCGAAAGCCUGACGGAGCAACGCCGCGUGAGUGAUGAAGGUCUUCGGAUCGUAAAACUCUGUUAUUAGGGAAGAACAUAUGUGUAAGUAACUGUGCACAUCUUGACGGUACCUAAUCAGAAAGCCACGGCUAACUACGUGCCAGCAGCCGCGGUAAUACGUAGGUGGCAAGCGUUAUCCGGAAUUAUUGGGCGUAAAGCGCGCGUAGGCGGUUUUUUAAGUCUGAUGUGAAAGCCCACGGCUCAACCGUGGAGGGUCAUUGGAAACUGGAAAACUUGAGUGCAGAAGAGGAAAGUGGAAUUCCAUGUGUAGCGGUGAAAUGCGCAGAGAUAUGGAGGAACACCAGUGGCGAAGGCGACUUUCUGGUCUGUAACUGACGCUGAUGUGCGAAAGCGUGGGGAUCAAACAGGAUUAGAUACCCUGGUAGUCCACGCCGUAAACGAUGAGUGCUAAGUGUUAGGGGGUUUCCGCCCCUUAGUGCUGCAGCUAACGCAUUAAGCACUCCGCCUGGGGAGUACGACCGCAAGGUUGAGACUCAAAGGAAUUGACGGGGACCCGCACAAGCGAUGGAGCAUGUGGUUUAAUUCGAAGCAACGCGAAGAACCUUACCAAAUCUUGACAUCCUUUGACAACUCUAGAGAUAGAGCUUUCCCCUUCGGGGGACAAAGUGACAGGUGGUGCAUGGUUGUCGUCAGCUCGUGUCGUGAGAUGUUGGGUUAAGUCCCGCAACGAGCGCAACCCUUAAGCUUAGUUGCCAUCAUUAAGUUGGGCACUCUAAGUUGACUGCCGGUGACAAACCGGAGGAAGGUGGGGAUGACGUCAAAUCAUCAUGCCCCUUAUGAUUUGGGCUACACACGUGCUACAAUGGACAAUACAAAGGGCAGCGAAACCGUGAGGCCAAGCAAAUCCCAUAAAGUUGUUCUCAGUUCGGAUUGUAGUCUGCAACUCGACUACAUGAAGCUGGAAUCGCUAGUAAUCGUAGAUCAGCAUGCUACGGUGAAUACGUUCCCGGGUCU